rnacentral:rRNA from 1 species
CCCUUAGAGUUUGAUCCUGGCUCAGGACGAACGCUGGCGGCGUGCCUAACACAUGCAAGUCGAACGAGUCCAGGUCUUCGGACCUGAGGCGAGUGGCGGACGGGUGAGUAACACGUGAGCAAUCUAUCCUGUUGCGGGGGACAACGAGGGGAAACCUUCGCUAAUACCGCAUGGUCGAGAACCUCGAUGGGGUUUUCGGGAAACGUGGCCUCUUAGCAAUGCUACGGCGAUGGGAGGAGCUCGCGGGCUAUCAGCUUGUUGGUGAGGUCAUGGCUCACCAAGGCGACGACGGCUACGGGGUCUGAGAGGACGACCCCGCACAUUGGAACUGAGACACGGUCCAGACUCCUACGGGAGGCAGCAGUGGGGAAUAUUGGGCAAUGGCCGAAAGGCUGACCCAGCGACGCCGCGUGUGGGAGGAAGCCCUUCGGGGUGUAAACCACUGUCAGGAGGGACGAAAGAGUCGGGGGUGAAUAAUCCUCGGCAGUGACGGUACCUCCAAAGGAAGCACCGGCUAACUCUGUGCCAGCAGCCGCGGUAAUACAGAGGGUGCGAGCGUUGUUCGGAAUUACUGGGCGUAAAGCGCGCGCAGGCGGGUCCUGUAAGUCGGAAGUGAAAUUUCGGAGCUCAACUCCGAAGCUGCUUCUGAUACUGCGGAUCUGGAGAUCGGUAGAGGUCGGUGGAAUUACAGGUGUAGCGGUGGAAUGCGUAGAUAUCUGUAAGAACACCCGUGGC